AUUGAACGCUGGCGGAAUGCUUUACACAUGCAAGUCGAACGGCAGCACGGACUUCGGUCUGGUGGCGAGUGGCGAACGGGUGAGUAAUGUAUCGGAACGUGCCCAGUCGUGGGGGAUAACGUAGUGAAAAUUACGCUAAUACCGCAUACGAUCUAUGGAUGAAAGCGGGGGAUCGCAAGACCUCGCGCGAUUGGAGCGGCCGAUAUCAGAUUAGGUAGUUGGUGGGGUAAAGGCCCACCAAGCCAACGAUCUGUAGCUGGUCUGAGAGGACGACCAGCCACACUGGAACUGAGACACGGUCCAGACUCCUACGGGAGGCAGCAGUGGGGAAUUUUGGACAAUGGGCGAAAGCCUGAUCCAGCCAUUCCGCGUGCAGGAUGAAGGCCCUCGGGUUGUAAACUGCUUUUGUACAGAACGAAAAGGUUUCUACUAAUACUAGGAGCUCAUGACGGUACUGUAAGAAUAAGCACCGGCUAACUACGUGCCAGCAGCCGCCGCCG
rnacentral:rRNA from 1 species